UCAGGCAAAAAAGCCUCGCGAAACAUGGAUGGAACUGGGGACAUGGGUGUCAGAAAAAGGUUCCCAAGAAAGUUCAUCGAUUGGCACUUGUCGGAGAGUUGAUGCCUUCACCACUCUGGACAGCGUAUCCUGCAAUGCGUUCUUUUCCCAAUGAUAAUGCCAUGUUCUUCAUCUACAGCUGCGUUUCCAUGGUGGGCUUGGCUGGGGACAAAAGCAAUGGAGAUCUAUGAUCGUGUCAUGUCGCAGAAGAAGAAGCCCAAGCAGUGCGUGCUUGAGACAAUCAAUCGAACAAAUGAGAGGUGAUUUGCGUCCCGUCCCAAAUCGCAGAUCCAUGAAGUGACACGCGGAAGCAGGGAGAUAUGGUGACAACGGUGGAGGAUCACGCUAUCCUCCUCUCCUCGGCCAAUCAUCGACGCCUACUCCAAAUGCGCGAGGUGGAUACGCCCCGUAAGGUGUUCGAUGCAAUGCCUCACAGAAACGUCGUCUCUUGGGAUGAACUCGUUGAAGGGGGUACCAAGACCACCACGAUAUCUACAGAGCGCCCAUUUUUCUCUCGACCUCUAAGGAGGACUUCUUUACCACAGUUACACAAAAGGGCUUAUCGGUACGCUCCUCAGUCGCUUACCAGACUCCUUUCGUCAAUCACUUGACCUCAGUAAGUUGGCACCUCAUCUCUGCAGGCCCAUAAAAUAACUUACGUCUUUCUUCAGUCUUGAAGUUAUGCCAUCCAUUUUAAAGCCUUUAACUCUUUAUCAUUGUACGAAUCAUUGUGCAAAAGGUAUUAUGACCAGUUCAGUUCGGAUUAAAUUGUCCGACCAGCUCGGCUCGCAUCAAUGCAGCCCAAUCGGCUCAGGUCAAGCCGAAUUGCUCGAGUAGCCCAACUUUGGCUCACAUGGGCCCAUCUUGGCCCAAGUCCAUCAUGCCUUCUUUCUUUAAGAAAGGAAAAGGCUUUUGUACCUCCUAAGGUUUAAAUCUAAAAUCUUUUGCCACCACAUUACUUCAUCACUUUUGUUUAAGAAUACAAUAUAAAUGUACAUGGUUAUAUUGAUGCAUCCGACAACCCCAUGGCAUUUAAUUUGCAUGUGACGCAUCCCCUUUGUACAUGAUGCUCCUACCCAAGACAAAAUGCCAUCCAAGGUAUCCAAUGUGACAAAUGUGUCCACCUUGUGCAUUAUUUAUUUACUUAAGACAAAAAUACAUGAUGCAACCCAAGGUACUCCCUUUGUGCAUGUUGUAUCCACCAAGUAUAGAAACAUUUGACUCAUCGUAAAGUGUGUCUUUGUACAUGAUGCAUCCACCUAAGACAGCAUUCCAAGUACAUGACACAUCCUGAAGCUUUGGAAAAGAAACUAACCGAAAUACAAGUACACAUUCUUAAAUUUAAAUGAUAGUCGUUGACCUUAACAAUCAGAAAAUUCGUUUUUGUUACAAUCCAUCUCACUAAGUUAUGGCAUCAUAUAGAGCUCCUUAUGCCAUGCUUGCUCAAAGCAUGUUCUUUUGCCUGGAGUUGUCUUUCAUGCAUGCAUAUUCGAGUACAUGUAUGCUCAAAGCAUGUUCUUUUGCCUGGAGUUGUCUUUCAUGCAUGCAUAUUCGAGUACAUGUAUGCUCAAAGCAUGUUCUUUUGCCUGGAGUUGUCUUUCAUGCAUGCAUAUUCGAGUACAUAUAUGUGGCAAUAUCUCUACCAUACAACUAUUCUUUCCCUUCGAAAACAGUUCUUUGCUAUCCUUUAUUCUUAGCACUUCGACUUGCUAUUACACUUUGCUAGUGAAGCAAGAAAGCACUCCUAGUUGAUCAUCUAAAGUUGUUAAACUUUCUUGGUCUCCUGAUAAUGCAGUACAAAGAAAUCAUCAUACCAAUAUGUGGCUUCUAUUCUAUUGUCAAGCUAAUCUUUCAUCCCUGAGCAUUGUGAAAAAGUAGUAGUAUAGGCUACUUCAGAAGUUAAUUCAGUGUCACACUUUUAUAGCAAUGUUUACAAUUCUUGAAGAGCUUUGUGGUUGUCAUUCUGCAUCUAAAGUUUUGGUUAUAGCCCACCAAGGUGCUCUGUGUUCUUGUAUAGCAUGACAAAAUGCUGAAUGAGAAGUGAUAUCUUGUUAUUGUUCA